rnacentral:rRNA from 1 species
UACAGAGGGUGCGAGCGUUGUCCGGAAUCACUGGGCGUAAAGGGCGCGUAGGCGGCUUGGUAAGUAGGAGGUGAAAUCUCAUGGCUCAACUGUGAGGCUGCCUUCUAGACUGCCGAGCUUGAGCACAGUAGAGGCUAGUGGAAUUCCCGGUGUAGCGGUGGAAUGCGUAGAGAUCGGGAAGAACAUCGGUGGCGAAGGCGGCUAGCUGGGCUGUUGCUGACGCUGAUGCGCGACAGCGUGGGGAGCAAACAGG